UACGGAGGGUGCAAGCGUUGUCCGGAUUUAUUGGGUUUAAAGGGUGCGUAGGCGGUCUGGUAAGUCGGCGGUGAAAGCCCGGGGCUACAACCCCGGAACUGCCAUCGAUACUGUCAGACUUGAGUGUGGUUGAGGGUGGCGGAAUGGGCGGUGUAGCGGUGAAAUGCAUAGAUACCGUCCAGAACCCCGAUGCGAAGGCAGGUG
rnacentral:rRNA from 1 species